rnacentral:lncRNA from 1 species
GAGACGAGUCGUGAGACACGUUCGUAGCGAUCGAUAGAGCUUCCGACCCGUUUUGUUCAGUUUAGUUCCUAUCGCGUUAUUUCUGAUGAUAUGAUUUAGAUAGUAAUUAUAUGGUUCAGUAUUUUUAUUACAUUUGAAUAUUUGAAUUUUCAUGAAUGUAAUAAAAGAAUUUGUGGAUUUUGUGAAAUGAAAAAUAAUUUUCUACCCCUCGUAGUAGCGUUUUUUAAAAGAAAAAUGUUUCCGUGUGGAAAACGGUGUUUAAAAAGGUUUUCUCAGUUUUCAGGACUUAGUGUUUUUAAAAACGAGUUUUCAAGUAGGAAACGUUUUAAAACUAAUAGCUGUGGAUUUAUGUUUAAACCCUGAAUGUGAACCUGUGGUGAAUGGUGUAUGAAUAUCUAAAUAGUUGAAUGUUGUAUAUUCAUCUGUGGUGGUUAUAUCCUGGUUAUACGUUUUGUACUUAUGCGACGCCGUGCGAAUAUAGGGGAGACUCUGUCCGUGUGAACAGUGGACUCCCUAUAUUUGU